AAAACAGAAUGCGAAUAAAGUGAAAAAGUACCACGUUUGCCGUUCGUGUGCCUCCAUCUGUUGUGUUUCGUCGUCUUGUAAAUUCGUUUCUAUUUCCCGUUGCUUGUCAAAAGUUUCUGUUUACUUUUCAGAUUUUUUAUUUCUUUGCUUGACUGUGUGUGCGUUUGGUUUGAUUUAUUAUUAUUAUUUUCAAUUUUUAUUUACUUAUUUUCAAAAACAAAAAAACCGAAAAUAUUCAAUCAGUUCGAUAAACGAAUGUUUGCCACGAUUUUGGACCAAAACGAAAAAGAUAUUGUACGAAUGCGUUUGAUCUAUUGCUAGCCGAAGCGCUUGCGUCCAGUAUUCACUUGUAAUUUAACACGUUUUCGCAUAUAAAUCUAAUUCUUGCAACGAUAUUGUGAAAGUCUUGUCAAAAAGAGGAAUUUAAAAUUGAAAUUUUUUUAUUGAUAUGCGAUUUUUGAUGUCUGAAGUCUAGUAUUUUGCUACCGUUUAUUUCUAUAGCCUUUUUCGCUCACUUUGUUUUAUGUUUCUUUAUUAUUAUUGGUUUUUGAACAACGUUCGUGACAGAUGCCGUUAUAUCCAGGCUGAAAAACCAGUCAUAAAAUGUACUAAGGUAAAUUCGUUGGCUUUGAAGCUGAUAUUUGGAAAGUUCUGAUCGACUCCAUCUAUGUACACUUUCGUGGAACAGUAUAAAGUCAAGAAUACUGUAUUGACAAACCAGAGGCUGGCCGCAUAAUUAAUUUUACCGAAAUUGGAAACAAUGUGUAUAUAUUAGGGGAUCCGAGAGAACAAAAUCAUGAACGGGGUUUGGACGGGCUUUCUACACAUCCGCUGAGAAGGUUUUACGGAAUGUUGAGUUGACACACGCUUACAAAAUCAUUUUUCGCCAUUGACAUAUGAAAAUCUAAACUUGACGCAUCGUCAUUCCAUGCGGGUUGAGAAACUCUUCACACCAGCUUAUAUGCAGAACGCUGCAGCACACCGAUUACUGACAAAUAUUACACGUCAAUCAAGGCACAUGUGGAGAAGUUGUGUUUCAUUAUUCAUUA
rnacentral:lncRNA from 1 species